AGUCGAGGGGCAACAUGGUAUCAGCUUGCUGAUACCGAUGGCGACCGGCGCACGGGUGAGUAACGCGUAUGUAAUCUACCUGUAACAGAGGGAUAACCCGGAGAAAUCCGGACUAAUACCUCAUAGCACAUAUUAUUCGCAUGAAUUUUAUGUUAAAGAGACUCGGUUACAGAUGAACAUGCGUUCCAUUAGCUGGUUGGCGGGGUCACGGCCCACCAAGGCAACGAUGGAUAGGGGUUCUGAGAGGAAGGUCCCCCACACUGGUACUGAGACACGGACCAGACUCCUACGGGAGGCAGCAGUGAGGAAUAUUGGUCAAUGGGCGGAAGCCUGAACCAGCCAAGUCGCGUGGAGGAAGACGGCCCUACGGGUUGUAAACUCCUUUUACCUGGGAAUAACGGGCGCUACGCGUAGCGCUGUGCAAGUACCGGGCGAAUAAGCAUCGGCUAAUUCCGUGCCAGCAGCCGCGGUAAUACGGAAGAUGCGAGCGUUAUCCGGAUUUAUUGGGUUUAAAGGGUGCGUAGGCGGAAGAAUAAGUCAGCGGUGAAAUGCUUCAGCUCAACUGGAGAAUUGCCGAUGAAACUGUUUUUCUAGAGUAUAAAAGAGGUAUGCGGAAUGCGUGGUGUAGCGGUGAAAUGCAUAGAUAUCACGCAGAACCCCGAUUGCGAAGGCAGCAUACUGGGCUAUAACUGACGCUGAAGCACGAAAGCGUGGGUAUCGAACAGGAUUAGAUACCCUGGUAGUCCACGCCGUAAACGAUGAAUACUAACUGUUUGCGAUAUAAUGUAAGCGGUACAGCGAAAGCGUUAAGUAUUCCACCUGGGGAGUACG
rnacentral:rRNA from 1 species